rnacentral:rRNA from 1 species
GAUUAACGCUGGCGGUGUGCCUAAUACAUGCAAGUCGAACGGACUCUAAGUCAUUAGUUAAUAGUUGAUAGUCAAUAGCCACUGGCUACCUAUCCACUAUAGACUAUUGACUUUAAGAGUUAGUGGCGGACGGGUGAGUAACACGUUGGUACCUGCCCUCUAGUGGGGAAUAACUGGCCGAAAGGUCGGCUAAUACCGCAUGUGAUCGCAAGAUCAAAGCAGCAAUGCGCUAGAGGAGGGGCCUGCGUCUGAUUAGCUAGUUGGUAAGGUAAUGGCUUACCAAGGCGACGAUCAGUAGCUGGUUCGAGAGGAUGACCAGCCACACUGGGACUGAGAUACGGCCCAGACUCCUACGGGAGCAGCAGUAAGGAAUCUUCCACAAUGGACGAAAGUCUGAUGGANCAACACCGCGUGCAGGAUGACGGCUC